rnacentral:rRNA from 1 species
CCUACGGGCGGCAGCAGUGGGGAAUAUUGCGCAAUGGGCGAAAGCCUGACGCAGCGACGCCGCGUGAGGGAUGAAGGUCUUCGGAUCGUAAACCUCUGUCAGCAGGGAAGAACGGUCACUGUGCUAAUCAGCAGUGAAUUGACGGUACCUGCAAAGGAAGCACCGGCUAACUCCGUGCCAGCAGCCGCGGGAAUACGGAGGGUGCGAGCGUUAAUCGGAAUUACUGGGCGUAAAGCGCUCGUAGGCGGUAUGUCAAGUCAAGGGUGAAAUCCCCGCGCUCAACGUGGGAACUGCCUUUGAAACUGGCAAACUGGAGUGUGUGAGAGGAUAGUGGAAUUCCAGGUGUAGGAGUGAAAUGCGUAGAUAUCUGGAGGAACAUCAGUGGCGAAGGCGACUAUCUGGCACAUAACUGACGCUGAGGAGCGAAAGCGUGGGUAGCAAACAGGAUUAGAUACCCUUGUAGUC